rnacentral:rRNA from 1 species
CAAUAGCGUAUAUUUAAGUUGUUGCAGUUAAAAAGCUCGUAGUUGGAUUUCGGUUGAGAACGGCCGGUCCGCCGUUUGGUGUGCACUGGCUGGUUUCAACUUCCUGUAGAGGACGCGCUCUGGCUUCACGGCUGGACGCGGAGUCUACGUGGUUACUUUGAAAAAAUUAGAGUGUUCAAAGCGGGCUUACGCUUGAAUAUUUCAGCAUGGAAUAACACUAUAGGACUCCUGUCCUAUUUCGUUGGUCUCGGGACGGGAGUAAUGAUUAAGAGGAACAGUUGGGGGCAUUCGUAUUUCAUUGUCAGAGGUGAAAUUCUUGGAUUUAUGAAAGACGAACUUCUGCGAAANCANNNGCCAAGGAUGUUUUCAUNAA